rnacentral:lncRNA from 1 species
AUGGUAUCCGGUGCAAAGGCCGGACAAGGUUCGGUCCUAGCUACGGGCUCGUCUAAGGUACCAGUACUAUGGAGAACCGGGGCUGACGAACUCCUAGAACUGCUAGAAAAGGAGGUAUCAGAGGAUAUUUUGGAUCAAACGGAAGCCACAAUAAUCCCAAAAAAUUAGGAAAAAAUGGCAGACAGGCCCCCGAGAAAGUUAAAUAAACAGAAUAUGAAGAAGAAAGGAUGGGAGAACAACAGAAAGUUUCGAAACUAACCUAGAUCGACCCCAGGAGCACAGGAGGAUGGCGAGGACGACGGAGGUCGACUCGGAGAAUGCCUAAGGCCGAGAAGGGUGCUAGAGGAAACUGGAGCUCUCGGGGAAGAGGAGGGGAACCGAGGGAUUCUCUCAAGCAAAGUGAAACCCAUGAAGGAGGAGAACGUGUUUAAAUAGACCCCGGGAUCCGACGCAAUUAUGAUCGCAGAUUUCCUCUGACCGGCCUGCACCUGCCGCGUGUCCCACUCACUAUGACAGGCUGUCGAAAAUGGCUAGCAGCUGACAAAAUAAUUAUUGCACC